UACGGAGGGUGCAAACGUUGCUCGGAAUUAUUGGGCGUAAAGAGCUCGUAGGCGGUUUGUCGCGUCGAAUGUGAAAACCCGGGGCUCAACCCCGGGCCUGCAUUCGAUACGGGCAGACUAGAGUUCGGUAGGGGAGUCUGGAAUUCCUGGUGUAGCGGUGAAAUGCGCAGAUAUCAGGAGGAACACCGGUGGCGAAGGCGGCUCUUUGGCCUGUAACUGACGCUGAGGCGCGAAAGCGUGGGGAGCAAACAGG
rnacentral:rRNA from 1 species